GUGAGAAUCUGCCCAUUAGUGGGGAUAACCUGGGGAAACCCAGGCUAAUACCGCAUAAUCCCUACGGGGGAAAGCAGGGACCUUCGGCCUUGUGCUGAUGGAUGAGCUCGCGUCGGAUUAGCCUUGUUGGUAGAGGUAAUGGACUCACCAAGGCGACGAUCCGUAGCUGGUCUUAGAGGAUGAUCAGCCACACCGGGACUGAGACACGGCCCGGA
rnacentral:rRNA from 1 species